GUCUUUUUCUUUUCUUUCUCUGUUUCCAUUUUCACUUUCUCAUUUCUUUUUCUUUCUACUUUCUCUUCCCUCUUUUGGUUUCACAUCAAUAUCUUCUUUAUCUUUCUCUUUGGUUUUUUGGUUAUGAACUCAUGUAUUUAUUUUAGAUCUUGCAGAAGCACAAGUUGAAUGCAAAGAAAAUGUUCAAGAUCUUUAUGGUAUGUGCAAUAAAAGGUGCAGAUGAACUAAUCGAAGAACAACGACCCUUCCAUUUUUUGUAUUUUCUACCAUCUAUGUUGUGUCAAGGUUGAAGGAUGCAAAGGUUAGAGCUCAAAUCUGUCUCACAUGUUUCAGAUCUACAAGGUUAGAGUUUGAAUCUGCCGUGCAUGUUUCAGAUCUACAAAGUUAGAGUUUCAAUGCGCCGUGUAUGUUUCAAGGUUCUCUAAUCUUUCACUAAAUGGAAGGUUUAUAAUUUAUUUUUGUUUUUAUUUAUAUUCUUCCUUCUUGCUUUUUUUUUACUAACAUUUUAUAUUGUAUUUUUUUCUUUUUUAUUUCAUAUUUCAGUUGUUGCUUUAGAGAUCGAUUAUGUUUAACAGGAUUGAAGCUGAUAUA